rnacentral:snRNA from 1 species
GUGCUCGCUUCGGCAGCACAUAUACUAAAACUGGAACGAUACCGAGAAGAUUAGCAUGGCCCCUGUGCAAGGAUGACAUGCAAAUUCGUGAAGCGUUCCAUAUUUUA